UGCAGCCGCGGCGCCUCCGGCUCGUCGUCGACGGAGGCGAAGACGACGGCGGAGUGCGAGGCCAGCACGCGGCCAGCCGGCGACGGCGAGCCGCAGGCGCAGAGCCCAAGCGAGCAAAAUAGCAGUAGUCACAGCGCUGUAAUUACUAGCUCUAACUCAACGCAAAAUUAAGGUCAUAAUUAAUACCUCUGUUUCAUAUGUUGUGUAUCCUAAAUUCAUAUAGAUAUCAAUGAAUCUAGACAUAUAUAUAUAAACAAUAUAUAAACAAUAUACAUUAGUUAAUAGAUAAAUCUAAGCAUAGCUAAAACGUCUUACGUUAUAAAACGGAGGGAGUAUCAUAAUUAAGAUAAUAGAACUGUUAAUUACUCUCUUUUCUUUGAAUAUGAUUAUUUUUUUGCGCCUUCUUCAUGUGUCAUUUUUACUGCACCGAAAGUUAAAUUAAGGGGCUGUAAAUACACUGAGAUGAGUAAAUUAAUUAUUGUAGCGAGCUGUAGAUUACUUCUGAUGAAUUACAACCUGC
rnacentral:lncRNA from 1 species